UAACGAGUUUUUGUUGAAUUGUGUUUUUUCUUCCCAUUUAUGAGAGAACUGGCAAAAAGAAGUGUAAUGAAAACUGAACCAGCAAAUAGCAACAGUUAUGCGGCUGAAACUGGCAGAGGAAUAGAAGUAGAAACUUUGGAGGUUCAAGAAGUUAAAAUUGAGCCAAAAAAGCAGAAAGAAUGCGGCAGGCUGUUAGAAAAGGAAGGCCACAACCUUAAAUUGACUCCCCCGCUUGAGUUAGCAAAUGGAGUGAAAAAAUGAACAGUAAUAUGCAAAAUACUGAAAGUAUCAACAAGGAAAAUUGAAGUAGCAACCAUAGAGGAUAUCGAGAAGAGUCCGAAAGAGGUCAAAAAGGUUACAACGUUUAUAACAAGACGAAGAAGAUAUGGCACAGUGGAGGUGUGGUUCGCAAGUGAAGACGAAGCGAUAAAGCACUCCACUGAUGCCAUAAAAACAGAAGAGUGGGAAAAGUACCACCGGAAUUGAAUGAAAUAUGGCUGGUUUCUGCAGUCAUGAAUAGUAUGGAGGAGGAUGCGAAUAUCCUGAGAGUAUCAAGAACGUAAAGAGCCAACUGGUGGGGUAACGGAAUCAAGAUGGCAGUGUAGACAACUGUGAGUGACAUGAAUAAGAUUCCAGAAGAAAUUAUAUUACCUGAAGAUGUGAGAUUAAGAGUGGUGGUGGAGAGCAGGCCUCCCACAUACUUCUUGUGUGGCGAGAAAGGCCACAUGAAGGCAAGGUGCCCCCAGAGAGAAGAGAAAGAGCAACAAAUGGAACAGUCUGAGGAGCAAGAGGGUGAAUGACGUGGUAAAGGAGGAUGAAAAGGAGACAACAGGAAUAGAAGAGGAAUUUGAAGUGGUUGUAAAAAGAAAGCAGAAGGAAAAAGUGGGCUCUCCACUGGAGAGACAGAAAACGAAAAAAGAAGCAGAUAAGGGGACUGAGGAAGAAGUCGUAAAGGAGUUUGAAAAAGGGGUUGAGAAAGAGGUAGAAAAGAAGGUUAUGGAAGAUGAAGAGACAGAA